CGAUUUUAUCCCUAACUUAUAUCCCUUAAAAUCCUAGAAAUUAUCGCUGAAUUUUAUCCCAUAUUAUCCCUAAAAUUAUCUCAUAGGUUAACCCUAAUUUUCCAAAUUUAGUCAAUAUCCCAUAAUUAACCCUCUUUUUUAUAUUAUUAAAAUUAACCCAUUUUUCAAGAAUUAAACCCUAAUUUCAAUAUGUCUAAUUGUUCUAAUUAGGGGUGUUCAGAUCCAAUCCAAU
rnacentral:lncRNA from 1 species